AACGAACGCUGGCGGCAGGCCUAACACAUGCAAGUCGAGCGAAGCCUUCGGGCUUAGCGGCGGACGGGUGAGUAACGCGUGGGAACGUGCCCUUUGGUACGGAAUAGCCCCGGGAAACUGGGAGUAAUACCGUAUGUGGUCGAGAGACGAAAGAUUUAUCGCCAAAGGAUCGGCCCGCGGAGAUUAGGUAGUUGGUGGGGUAAUGGCCUACCAAGCCGACGGUCCAUAGCUGGUUUGAGAGGAUGAUCAGCCACACUGGGACUGAGACACGGCCCAGACUCCUACGGGAGGCAGCAGUGGGGAAUCUUAGACAAUGGGGGAAACCCUGAUCUAGCCAUGCCGCGUGAUCGAUGAAGGCCUUAGGGUUGUAAAGAUCUUUCAGUGGGGAAGAUAAUGACUGUACCCACAGAAGAAGCCCCGGCUAACUCCGUGCCAGCCGCCGCGGUAACAC
rnacentral:rRNA from 1 species